CGCCUACGGGAGGCAGCAGUGGGGAAUUUUGGACAAUGGGCGCAAGCCUGAUCCAGCCAUGCCGCGUGCAGGAUGAAGGCCUUCGGGUUGUAAACUGCUUUUGUACGGAACGAAAAGACUCCUUCUAAUAAAGGGGGUUCAUGACGGUACCGUAAGAAUAAGCACCGGCUAACUACGUGCCAGCAGCCGCGGUAAUACGUAGGGUGCGAGCGUUAAUCGGAAUUACUGGGCGUAAAGCGUGCGCAGGCGGUGAUGUAAGACAGAGGUGAAAUCCCCGGGCUCAACCUGGGAACUGCAUUUGUGACUGCAUCGCUGGAGUGCGGCAGAGGGGGAUGGAAUUCCGCGUGUAGCAGUGAAAUGCGUAGAUAUGCGGAGGAACACCGAUGGCGAAGGCAAUCCCCUGGGCCUGCACUGACGCUCAUGCACGAAAGCGUGGGGAGCAAACAGGAUUAGAUACCCUAGUAGUCCC
rnacentral:rRNA from 1 species